rnacentral:rRNA from 1 species
AUGUCGCCCUCGAGGCCGCGCCCAACCAUCUCCAGCUCCGGUGACCUGCCCGCGGACGCGCUGUACGAGGUCCUUCUCCGCAUCCCGGCCAAGGACCUCUGCCGCCUCCGCGCUGUCUGCCCCGCCUGGCGCGCCCUCACCUCCGACCCGCUCUUCGUCGCGGCGCACAAGUCCCGCCACCGUACUGCGCCCCCGCUCCUCGCCAUGGGCUACCGCGACGGCAGUGGAGUUAGCGGCGUUGCGAUUUCGGAUUUGUCGGGCAACGUCGUGAAGCGGAUUCCAAGCACCGGGUAUGAGAUUGUUGGGGUGAACAAGUCCGGUGAUCCCAUUGGCCGGUUCACAAGCAAGAACGAUAGCAUCUGUGUUGUGCGCACGCGGUUAGACCUCGUCUGUUUCAACUGGAUUGAUUACCCUCAGGCCUUCUCGGUGCUGAACCCGGCCACUGGAGCUACCAUCGACUUGCCGACGGGCCGCUCGGAGGAAUUGGAACAUGAGCUAGAGGUGGAGGGAAUAGACAAGUGGUGUUGCCAAGUCGAGUCGUGUGCUUUUGGGCAGGUCUCCUCUACCAGAGAGUACAAGGCGCUCCGAGUCUUUAGAAUUGAUGACCGGCAGGUAUGUGAAGUUAUCACCUUUGAUGGCACCAACCAUGGAAGCUGGAGGAGAAAGCAGGACCCUCCCUCCCAUAUCUGUACCAGUCGCAAUAUGAGACAUGCGGUCAUCGAUGGUGUGGUGUACUUCCUGAUGGAUUUUUGUUCCUCUUAUUUUGAAACUGGGGGUGUUACCAUUGAACCUGGUAGCGUAGCUUCCUUCAACCUCGAGACGGAGGAGUGGAGUGUUCUACGUGGUCCAGAACAGGUGCAGAGUUUUGUGCAAGACAACGAGAAUUACCAUUACAUACAACUUGGACUUGAGUUAUCAGUGGCUGAGUUGAAUGAUUGCUUAGUUAUGGUUCAUGAUAUCCAUAAGGUAUCUAUGAACUUGUGGUUUUUGGCAGAUUCCGAGAAAGGUAUGUGGGUCAAGAAAUACAUCAUGCCUUCACAUGUUGCUAGGCCUCGUCUAUACCCUCUUCUGGUAUUAGAUGAUGGGAGAAUUUACUUCAGCGGGAAGGAUUAUCUGCAAGGUUUCCUUAGUAGUGGAGAGCCAGGAGGGGGAUUUCUGCUUAGUUAUGAUCCAAGAAAUGACUCCGACGCACUAAAACUGAAAGGUUCCCAAUCCAUUGGCAUUUACACAGGAAGCCUGCUGAGUUUAUAG